CUGCGGGUGAAGCGGGAAAAGCUCAAAUUUAAAAUCUGGCGGUCUUCGGCCGUCCGAGUUGUAAUCUAGAGAAGUGCUUUCCGGGCUGGACCGUGUACAAGUCUCCUGGAAUGGAGCGUCAUAGAGGGUGAGAAUCCCGUCUUUGACACGGACUACCAGUGCUCUGUGAUGCGCUCUCAAAGAGUCGAGUUGUUUGGGAAUGCAGCUCAAAAUGGGUGGUGAAUUCCAUCUAAAGCUAAAUAUUGGCGAGAGACCGAUAGCGAACAAGUACCGUGAGGGAAAGAUGAAAAGAACUUUGAAAAGAGAGUUAAACAGUACGUGAAAUUGUUGAAAGGGAAACGCUUGAAGUCAGUCGCGUUUGCCAGAACUCAGCCUUGCAUUUGCUUGGUGUACUUUCUGGUGAACGGGCCAGCAUCAAUUUUGACCGCUGGAUAAUGGCAAGGGGAAGGUGGCACCUUCGGGUGUGUUAUAGCCCCUUGUCGCAUACAGUGGUUGGGAUUGAGGAAUUCAGCAUGCCUUUAUGGUCGGGGUUCGCCCACGCUCAUGCUUAGGAUGCUGGCGUAAUGGCUUUAAACGACCCGUCUUGAAACACGGACCAAGGAGUCUAACAUGCCUGCGAGUGUUUGGGUGGAAAACCCAUGCGCGUAAUGAAAGUGAAAGUUGAGACCUCUUCGCGGAGGGCACCGACGCCCGGACCUGAGCUUCUGCGACGGAUCUGCGGUAGAGCAUGUAUGUUGGGACCCGAAAGAUGGUGAACUAUGCCUGAAUAGGGUGAAGCCAGAGGAAACUCUGGUGGAGGCUCGUAGCGAUUCUGACGUGCAAAUCGAUCGUCAAAUUUGGGUAUAGGGGCGAAAGACUAACGAACCAUCUA
rnacentral:rRNA from 1 species